AGACUGAUACCUGGCAGGGGAGGCAGACACCAUGAUCAUGAAGGUGGAUCUCCCAGGACGAGGCUAACCCAUUGCACUUUGGGUGUGUGCUGACGCCUGCGAUGUCCCCAAAUGCGGGAUACUCGACUGCAAAAUUUGUGGUAGUGCGGGACUGCAUUCACACUUAUCUCAUU
rnacentral:snRNA from 1 species